AGAGACCGUCGCUGCCCCCUCCACCUUGAUUUUCCAGGAACAAACCCUCCCUUUUUUCAGAAAAUUAUCAGCGCCAUUUCCUUCUCCCUCCUUACUUUCUCAUCCGCGUACAUGCUCACUCACCCCACUCCCCUGUCCUCACAGAAUACAUACCUAUACCCAUAGACACAUUUUCUGGACCUGAAGUUCAUUGUCGAGAUCUGGAAUCUUAGGCGACGAGGAAUACACAAGAGUAGCAGUUAAAAAUACUCCAAAUAGCCUAAAAAUGUUAGUAUAGAUCAGUAGUUUCAAGAAGCUGUUUGGUUUUCUGUUGAUUUGCUCGGAAAUUUUUUCUGGUUUUCUAAGAGUGAUUAAACUCUCAAAUCAUGGUUGGUUGCUGCUGAUUCACUUCCCUUUUGAGCUCCAGAUUUAUCUUUUAUCACUGUUUCUCUCUAUUCUGUUUCCACAUCAAGAUCCCGGAGCAACAGCUUUUGGACCUUAGCUUGGGUGGCGGCCUUCAGUCCAUACGGAGAUCCAAAGUAGUCCUGCAAGCGUUCGCAGGUCCUGGCGUCCCUCUUCUGUGAAGUUAUGACUCCAGUUUUGGGUAGUCUUUUUCAAACAGUUGUAUUGGAUAUACUCAGUAUUUUUAUUAUUUUUCUUCCACUUGUUAUAAUUUCCGCUGUCUUUAAAUUAUUGUUCAAAAUUGUUAAAGGAUUAAAAUGGGAAAUAGGUAAAUUGUUCAAAAGUCGACUUGCCUAACUCACAUUAGUAAGCGUCACACAACUCCUGAGGGCGGGAAAUCCGGGUCGUGGCAUAGAAAAAAGCAAAUGUACCUUAGAGCAGCAGUUGAGAGUCAUGUCAUCGGAAUUGGCAGUUGAAAAAGCUUCUUCCAACCAGGCGGGCAAGGACAAGAAUCUCUUUGAGUCUUCUUUUGCUGAACAACUCUCCAAACUACUGAAGAGAUCAGAGGCCUUAAAGCUUUGCUAAAUGAGAAAGAAGUUAUGCUGGUGAGCUUGUUCAAACACUCAUGCAGUCCCAAGAAGAUCUCCGAGUGUCUACUGACAAGGUUAAGUUUUUGGAGAGUUCAUUUACCCCUUUACAGUUUUCUUACGAUGCUGUUUUAGCUGAGAGGGAGGAGCUCAAGAGUGAAAUUGACCAUUGGAAAGAGACUUCAAGGCUGCUGUUGAAGUUAUUUGGGCUAUUUUGAACAUGCGCCAUGAUACGCUUAUGGAGGUAAGUCAGGAAGGUUUUAACUUGGAUGCUGAGUUAGCCAAGAUUCAGGAAACAAUUGAAAAAACUCAGCAAAGCCAAAGCUUUUCUUCACCUAUGGAUGAUACUCUUGAAAAUGUUGAAGUUGAUCCUAGUGCGAUGGAUGUCCCAGCUCCUUCAAACCAAAUCGAGCCUUCUGUUGUUGAUGAUUCCCUGAACUCUUCUUCUGAACCUGCUCCACAGUGAAAGUUUAUUUAUGAAGUUUGACUCUUUUUUUUUCUUUUUGGUGGAAUGUGUGAUGGUAUUACCCCUGGUCCUAUUUGGGGGUUAUGUUUUUGGUAACAGUAUGUCCCCAGGUCUUUUCGGAGCUUUUAGAAUGAGAAUCAAUUUAUGACUAAGUUCAUACUUAGCUUAAACUUAAUAUUA